CGGACAGAAGGGAGCUUGCUCCCGGAUGUUAGCGGCGGACGGGUGAGUAACACGUGGGUAACCUGCCUGUAAGACUGGGAUAACUCCGGGAAACCGGAGCUAAUACCGGAUAGUUCCUUGAACCGCAUGGUUCAAGGAUGAAAGACGGUUUCGGCUGUCACUUACAGAUGGACCCGCGGCGCAUUAGCUAGUUGGUGAGGUAACGGCUCACCAAGGCGACGAUGCGUAGCCGACCUGAGAGGGUGAUCGGCCACACUGGGACUGAGACACGGCCCAGACUCCUACGGGAGGCAGCAGUAGGGAAUCUUCCGCAAUGGACGAAAGUCUGACGGAGCAACGCCGCGUGAGUGAUGAAGGUUUUCGGAUCGUAAAGCUCUGUUGUUAGGGAAGAACAAGUGCAAGAGUAACUGCUUGCACCUUGACGGUACCUAACCAGAAAGCCACGGCUAACUACGUGCCAGCAGCCGCGGUAAUACGUAGGUGGCAAGCGUUGUCCGGAAUUAUUGGGCGUAGAGGGCUCGCAGGCGGUUUCUUAAGUCUGAUGUGAAAGCCCCCGGCUCAACCGGGGAGGGUCAUUGGAAACUGGGAAACUUGAGUGCAGAAGAGGAGAGUGAAAUUCCACGUGUAGCGGUGAAAUG
rnacentral:rRNA from 1 species